rnacentral:lncRNA from 1 species
AACAUCUUCUAGCAUUUGAUAGUCCCCUAAAAAUUUUUUAGCUAUCUGAGGGUCUGAAAGAAAGGGAGACACCUCUUGACCGAUCUAGAGACAAAGUGAUUGAGCAAAAUGACCUUAUCGGUAAGAUGCUACACUUCUUUGAUGGUUCUUAGUGGCAUUAUCUCAAGGACUGCUUUGAUCUUCUCGAGAUUUACUUCGAUGCCUCUUUGUG